CUUUCGGACUCGGGAUGGGCCGAAGUCGCUGAAACCUGGGUUGCAUAAAACCCUCACUUGACUCCUUUUCUCUUGCCCUCGAUCAAGUUCGGAUACCUCUCAACCUCCUCUGAUCCUCGAAUCGCUUGCACCAACCCUCCCCCGCGCAACCACCCUUGCCCCCCUUUCUCCCCCUCGAUCCGCUCUCUCCCUGACCCUCGUGGCAGCCGUCGACAAUCUAUCCCAAUCUUAUGGUAUUGCUCCAUGUCGUCGAUCCUGUUGCUUUUCCCGUUGCGUUAUUGCUCCCAGAUGGUGUUCUCGACCCAAUCAGGCUCAAAUUGCCCGGUAAGCUCCUCCUUCCAAGCGUUGACGGAGAUGGUGAGCCCCAGCAGGCCUUUUUCCCUUGUAUUCACUCGAGCUACACAAAACAGACAUGGCAGUGAAGUCUAAGGAAGGAAGCAGCUUCCCUAGGGUCUUGCCCUAUGGUCCUCUCCAGGACAGAGCACAUGAGUACUGAUAGCAUUCUAAAAUAAAGAUUCACAUUGUCCCUGGUUGAUAGUUGGAACGUCUCCCCAGAAAUGGUUGUACUUAGAGAAAGCUAGGGAAAGGGAGAAGCAGAGUGGCACUGUUGCUAUUACGUGGAGGAAGAAAGCCAAGAGCUCUGAACGGUUCAAGGCAUCUUCUAGAAGGGCUGGACGUUCUCCUUCUUGAGAUAAUCAAAGCUCACUUUUCUCUAUAAUUUGUUUUUCAUAUUGAGGGGAAAGGUUCCUGGAAUUUGUUAUACCCACUUCUUUAGUACAGGGAGCAGGUUACAAAGGCAUAAAAUUAAAAGCAACGAUUCAGAAUAUGUCUUUUCCCACCAGCACAGCCUCGUAUGGGCUGACCCACUGGACUUUGUCCAUCUAAUAAUUUAUCAUAUUUAUGGAGUCGGAUGGCCAUGCUAAUUAUAUGGAGGUUUCCAUAACCACCGCCGCUCUGUUGACCAUUCACGCGAGAGACAGGAGAUGUCAGAGGUGAAGAAAGAAAGAGUCAAAUGGUUGCAGGAUGCUAGCAAGAUUAAUUGCUGUUGCCCUACAUGGACUAGAGCAUAUAGAAUGAAAGCUCUCUCGAAGACUUUUUGACUCAGGAAAAAAAGGAAUUAGUUGGAUUGGUUUGUACAGGAGAACAAGAUUAAAUUGGACUGGUCCAACAAAAAGUAAUUUUGAUGAGCUGCACGUUUGAUGACAGACUAUGCUGUAUGUAUACAUUGCUGGAAAUUUGGCGGCUUGGAGCUUCACAAAUGCACCCUCCUUGGUUUGGUUAUAUAGUUGAAUAGCUGGGAUGCUGUGGAAGUUCCACCGUCGUAUAGAAUUAAGUGCAGAGGAAAACGAGUUGCUUCCACAGUGCGCAAGGACAUGAGUAUAUGCUAUCUGCAAAUAAUGAACGAUGAAUUUUCAUGCAUGCAGGAAGGCUUGAGAUAACCAUCUAAACCCAUCCUGGAAUGUACAGAUGCAUAUAUCUCUUCUCGAUGAUAGCAUUUAUUUUGCAGUUACAUGUGCUCACAUUUUUCUGAAUUGUCUUAAUAUGUUUUGUCUGUUCAGAGUACUGUGCAGGGUUCAGGGGUGAUGACUAGUCAUAUUUUUCCACGGAAAAAUAUAUCAAAAUUAUAAAACUGCAUGAUGUUGUGAUGGUUGCUUUAGAGGUGGAGGUAACUCAAUGCUCUGUACUAUGAUUCGGCAUGCAAUUGGCCAGGGACUAGUUUAAGAGGAGGUAGUAUUUUGAACAACCAUGAUCAGAGCAACGGUGAUGCAGCGGAUGCUUGUGGUCGCUGCAUGUUGACUAAAUCAUGAGGAAAGAGCACUAGUGAAUGGCUUAAUCUGAUCACCAUUCACUAGAAGGUUUCUAAUACUGCAAUUUAUGAGUCUUGAGAUUAUGCAAUGAUUUGUUAAGCCCUCAGCUUUCGGCAUUCGACCUCUUUCAGAAACAAAAAAGGCUUCAUUGCACAGGUCCAGCCAUGGUAACCAGGCAUUUUCUCUGGAGUCGAGAUCCCGUGCAGUCUCAACUCCCACAGCGCUCCUUUUGCCCAUAUGCGCUGGUCAGCGACGGGCGGUCCGAUAGGGCAGGUACAUGUAUCUCUUCCGUAGUUAUGUCGCCAGACUAUUGAAUGAUGGAUGGAUGAAGGGUGAUUGUGGGCCCUCUGCCUGAUUCUUUUUGCUUGAGGUGGAUUCUUUAUCUACUAAAGCAGAUAUGCAACAGAUACGUUAGGUUUCACCUCCAGUCAUCCAGCUCGAUCUCAAGUAUUUCUAGUCAAGCCGAGUACUAGUCAACUUCUGCUUCUAUAAAUAUAAACUUGAGCCUGUCUGUUCUUUGGGUCGGCUUUUGGCUA